CACACACUCUGUGAUUGUACGUCGAAAGGUAGAGUCUCCAGAUCCACUGAAGAAGCGUCGAAUUCAUUGCUGUGACUUCAAUGGCUGCAAUAAAGUCUAUACCAAAAGCUCCCACCUGAAAGCUCACAGACGCACACAUACAGGAGAGAAGCCUUACAAGUGCAUGUGGGAAGGCUGUACGUGGAAGUUCGCCCGCUCUGAUGAGCUGACCCGUCACUUUCGGAAGCACACGGGUGUAAAGCCAUUCCAGUGCCCUGACUGUGAUCGCACCUUCUCCCGCUCCGAUCACCUCGCCCUGCACAAGAAGCGUCACCUACUGAUGUGAACUCAAUACUGCAACACGUGAACGGAGCAGAAAUUGCACCUUCGAUUAAGCCGUUGCUCAACAGGAGCUUCAUCUUCAGUGAUGUUAAGGGCCGUUUUGUGUUUCCCGUCCCUUUUCUGUUCAGGAAACGAUGCAUGUAAGAAGAAAGAGUGGAGUUGAUGGAUAAUAUGAUGGCUAGCUCGUACUUCAUGAAAAUAAUUAUUGUCCAAGUGGAUUUUGUCACCGUUACUAUGGAUUCGGACAAACGGUGAUAGUGCUGUGGAUAUGACCCUUAUAUAAGCAAAAUUGAAUUCCAAUAGGCACCUUUAAGUCUUUUCUUGAUACCAAGCACUCUCUCUCUCCUUUGUCUCUCUAUUCACGUCUCUCUACCAUUCUGUUUUACCCCUCUGCUGGUCAGAGGGCCCAUUGUUCCAGUUACAGCACUACACAAACAAGCAAAAUACAUUUACAGUAUAUCAGUAGCUAGUCACACGCAUGUGCAAACACACACACACCUCGGACAUUUUCACACUUUAAAUGUUGUUUUAAGCUGCAACUCGGGUCAAACCUGCACAAUGUGAUUUUUUUUCUCUUUUUUAUAUUAUUCAAAAAAACGAAUGUGUAUACGCAGGUCCUGUAUAUGUAUUCAGCAUGUGUGUUUCAGUGUAAGGACCAAGGCUGAGUGUUUUACACCUUCAUAUGUUUCCUGAGAUCGUUUGAUUGGGUCGGUCAGUCGUUGAGCCCCGUUCACACCAAGAAUGAUAACCACACCAACCCACGAUAAUAUUCUGUUUAUUAUAAGCACGCGCUGCGGUUUUGUCAUCUGCCACUUUAAAUGCUCAAGCGCAUUAAAGCAGAAAGGAUUCUGUUUGGCUGUCAAUGUUUUUAUCAUUCAUAAGCUGGAAGAAAUCAUUACAGUUGUCCACAAAUUAUAGUAUAUUCUUUUACAUUUAGAACUAUUUUUGAAACUAUAUUGUUAUAGUUAUCGUCCUUGGUGUGAAUGGGCAUUUAUAGUUUGACUCUAAAGAGUUAAGUUUUGACAAAAAGUUUUUGGUUCCAAAAGUAGCUUCCGAGCACCUGACCUAUUAUUUACUUAGUGAAACAGUGGCGUGUUUUAUUAAUUGUAAUCAUGAAUUAAUACUGUAGUUUAUUACUGUAAGUACUAUGUACUGUGUAAGUUCUUGCAACUAUGCACAUGCACAAUUUACGAUUUAGUAAUGAAAAUAUAGUCAUGAUUUUACCCUACAUACAUGUUAAAGACACAAGUAGAACGUAAGUGUGAGAGUUCAAGAUGUCUUAAAUGCUAAUAGGCAGGUCUGAAAAUUGAACGCUUGGUCGUCCAACACAUACAUGUUAGUUGCAAGGACUUAUAGCAAGCUUUAUUUUGCUUAAUCUCACCAUUAUUCAUAUUUGAAUAAUUUCUGUAAUCAUGAAUAUUCGUAUAAUCCUAAAUAUUUUGUUGUGUCUUUUUAUCAAAGCCAGUGUCCGAGGCUCAAAAGGGUAAACUAUUAUUUCACUGAGGGAUGUUUAGGUGGAGAAAUGUGAUAAAUGUGAACCAUUCAAUAAGGGGCAUUAUUUUAUUAGAGUGUGUUCAUCUAGGUUAUGGGUAACAUUGUCUUAUUGCUAACACUUUGUUUGUGAGAUAUUUGUUAAACGCGUGAGAUAGUCAUGGAUAUAUUGUUUUUUUGUAUUGCAAAUCAUUUUUACAUGAACAGAUGUUUGUUAAGGGCAAUGUGUAAACGGAAACAGUGCACUUUAAAAAUUAAUUU